AAAUGUGAAAUCGUUUAACUAGAAAAGCAGAAAUCGGACUGUCCGAUUUAUUAGAAGUACAGAAAUCGGACCGUCCGAUUUUAAAAAAAAUAAAAAAUUUGAGGUACACAAAUCGAACCCUCCGAUUUGUAUACUUUCCACAAUUUUAAAAAACAC